UACGUAGGGUGCAAGCGUUGUCCGGAAUUAUUGGGCGUAAAGAGCUCGUAGGCGGUUUGUCGCGUCUGCUGUGAAAACUCGGGGCUUAACUCCGGGCCUGCAGUGGGUACGGGCAGACUAGAGUGCGGUAGGGGAGACUGGAAUUCCUGGUGUAGCGGUGAAAUGCGCAGGUAUCAGGAGGAACACCGGUGGCGAAGGCGGGUCUCUGGGCCACUACUGACGCUGAGAAGCGAAAGCAUGGGGAGCGAACAGG
rnacentral:rRNA from 1 species